rnacentral:lncRNA from 1 species
AGUUGCCAAAACUGGAGAGAGCCUUGGAGAGCUUCUAAUACAACCCGCUCCUUUCACAGGAAGAUCCGUGGCACAGAGAGGCUAAAAGUGCUCAGUCAAGAUCACCCAGCAGCCAAGCCAGGACCAGAGAGUGCCAGCCUGUGGGCUCCCAGUCCAAACCGUUUACCACCACGCGAUGACACUGCCUGGACCUCCCUGGGUUUCUGGAGACCUGCCUUCUAGCCCCUACUCCAUCAGGAUGAGCUGGGGACCCUCAAAGCCUCGCCAUGCAAUGAAGCCAGGGCCUG